rfam:Trichobilharzia regenti genome assembly, scaffold: TRE_scaffold0000374
AGUUAGCUGACGAGUCCCAAGUAGGACGAAAUACACGUUAUCCUGGAU